rnacentral:rRNA from 1 species
UACAGAGGGGGCAAGCGUUGUUCGGAAUUACUGGGCGUAAAGGGUGCGUAGGCGGAUCUUUAAGUCAGUGGUGAAAUCUCUCGGCUCAACCGAGAAACUGCCAUUGAUACUAUUGAUCUUGAAUACAGUUGAGGUGGGCGGAAUGUGUCGUGUAGCGGUGAAAUGCUUAGAUAUGACACAGAACACCGAUUGCGAAGGCAGCUCGCUAAACUGUGAUUGACGCUGAGGCACGAAAGCGUGGGGAUCAAACAGG